UACGAAGGGGGCUAGCGUUGUUCGGAAUUACUGGGCGUAAAGCGUGCGCAGGCGGCUUCUCAAGUCAGGGGUGAAAGCCCAGAGCUCAACUCUGGAAUUGCCUUUGAGACUGAGUGGCUUGAGUACGAGAGAGGUGAGUGGAAUUCCCAGUGUAGAGGUGAAAUUCGUAGAUAUUGGGAAGAACACCGGUGGCGAAGGCGGCGACCUGGUCCGAUACUGACGCUGAGGCGCGAAAGCGUGGGGAGCAAACAGG
rnacentral:rRNA from 1 species